rnacentral:rRNA from 1 species
AAGGAUCAUUAUCAAUAUUCCGCGCGAAAGAAAAAUCUUUCUUUCGCGCACGUAUUUAAAACCCACACUUGAAACAAAAAAUUUAUUACUUAAAAAGUAAAUUGUAAGAUCACUUUCAACAACGGAUCUCUUGGCUCUCGCAUCGAUGAAGAACGUAGCAAAGUGCGAUAAGUAAUGUGAAUUGCAGAAUUCCGUGGAUCAUCGAAUUUUUGAACGCAAAUUGCACUCUUUUCACGAAGAGUAUGCCUGUUUGAGGGUCAUUAAAAUAAAAAAUCGAUUUGUUACCUUCUAAGUGUCAUUUCGGAAUUGAGUUACCUUAAAAACCUCUGUUUGAGUUUAAGUGACUUAAAAUUGAUCUUUUCGUUGAUUUGAGCGCAUUUUAUGGUUAAUACUUUGUGCUUGAACGACAUUAAUCUAUUAGGUAUGACCAUUUAUCAUGGUUUCGUACCCAUAAAUGUUUUAUGAAAUUUGACCUCAAAUCAGGUAGGAUUACCCGCUGAACUUAA